rnacentral:rRNA from 1 species
UCGAACGCCCUGAUUUUUCGCAAGAUUGAUCAGGGAGUGGCGAACGGCUGAGUAACGCGUAAGUAACCUACCCCUAAGUGGGGGAUAACUUGCCGAAAGGCAGGCUAAUACCGCAUGUGCUGGUAAGCAUUUAGCUUAUCAGCAAAGCUUUUGCGCUUGGGGAGGGGCUUGCGUCUGAUUAGAUAGUUGGUAGGGUAAUGGCCUACCAAGUCGGUGAUCAGUAGCUGGUCUGAGAGGACAACCAGCCAGACGGGGACUGAGAUACGGCCCUGACUCCUACGGGAGGCAGCAGCAAGGAAUUUUGCGCAAUGGGCGAAAGCCUGACGCAGCGACGCCGCGUGGGGGAUGACGGCCUUCGGGUUGUAAACCCCUUUUCUCGAGGAAGAAAUAUGACGGUACUCGAGGAAUAAGUCUUGGCUAACUACGUGCCAGCAGCCGCGGUAAUACGUAGAAGGCGAACGUUAUCCGGAUUUACUGGGCGUAAAGAGGGUGUAGACGGUUCUUUAAGUCAGUUGUGAAAUCUCCCGACUCAAUUGGGAGACUGCAAUUGAUACU